CCUACGGGAGGCAGCAGUGAGGAAUAUUGGUCAAUGGGCGAGAGCCUGAACCAGCCAAGUCGCGUGAAGGAUGACGGCCCUACGGGUUGUAAACUUCUUUUGUCAGGGAGCAAUUGGGUCCACGCGUGGGCUUAGCGAGAGUACCUGAAGAAAAAGCAUCGGCUAACUCCGUGCCAGCAGCCGCGGUAAUACGGAGGAUGCGAGCGUUAUCCGGAUUUAUUGGGGUUAAGGGGUGCGUAGGCGGAAUAUCAAGUCAGCGGUAAAAAUUCGGGGCUCAACCCCGUCGUGCCGUUGAAACUGAUGUUCUGGAGUGGGCGAGAAGUAUGCGGAAUGCGUGGUGUAGCGGUGAAAUGCAUAGAUAUCACGCAGAACUCCGAUUGCGAAGGCAGCAUACCGGCGCCCAACUGACGCUGAAGCACGAAAGCGUGGGUAUCGAACAGGAUUAGAUACCCCUGUAGUC
rnacentral:rRNA from 1 species